CCCCUGAGCUCAGUUGGGAGAGCGUUAUGAUUAUACAUCGAAAGUCCCUGGUUCAAUCCCGAGUUACGGCA
rnacentral:tRNA from 1 species